UUGGUGCCUUCGGGAACGUCUGAGACAGGUGCUGCAUGGCUGUCGUCAGCUCGUGUUGUGAAAUGUUGGGUUAAGUCCCGCACGAGCGCAACCCUUAUCCUUUGUUGCCAGCGGUUAGGCCGGGAACUCAAAGGAGACUGCCAGUGAUAAACUGGAGGAAGGUGGGGAUGACGUCAAGUCAUCAUGGCCCUUACGAGUAGGGCUACACACGUGCUACAAUGGCGCAUACAAAGAGAAGCGACCUCGCGAGAGCAAGCGGACCUCAUAAAGUGCGUCGUAGUCCGGAUUGGAGUCUGCAACUCGACUCCAUGAAGUCGGAAUCGCUAGUAAUCGUAGAUCAGAAUGCUACGGUGAAUACGUUCCCGGGCCUUGUACACACCGCCCGUCACACCAUGGGAGUGGGUUGCAAAAGAAGUAGGUAGCUUAACCUUCGGGAGGGCGCUUACCACUUUGUGAUUCAUGACUGGGGUGAAGUCGUAACAAGGUAAGCGUAGUGCU
rnacentral:rRNA from 1 species